AGAUGUGAACCAGACUCUCCAGGACUGUGGUUUUUGCUGGAUGCUGCUCUUUUCUCUGUGCCCAGCUGUUUCUGCUCUCUCUUGUCUCCUCUCGUCUCUUCUGGUGUACGCCCUUUGCCAGAGAUCAGCUGCAAAAGCUCAAGAUAAUGAAAAGCAAUGUGACACAAGAAGUCAAUCAACAAAACGGGGUGAAGAUGUGUGUUACGCUGCUCUGGAAAUAAAUCAGUCAUCACAGAGACCAACGAUGAUGAGGACCCGGAGUUCAGACUUCAGCACAUAUUCUACCAUCAGAACUUCCCAGAUGUAAAGAUUUGCGAUGUAUUAAUUAUUGCUCUUUUUUUUUCUCUUUUAUUUUU